CGCGUAGGCGGCUUUAUAAGUCAGAUGUGAAAGUCCAUGGCUCAACUGUGGAAGUGCAUUUGAAACUGUGAAGCUUGAAUAUCGGAGGGGAGUGUGGAAUUCCCGGUGUAGAGGUGAAAUUCGUAGAGAUCGGGAGGAACACCGGUGGCGAAGGCGACACUCUGGACGAAUACUGACGCUGAGGCGCGAAAGCGUGGGGAGCAAACA
rnacentral:rRNA from 1 species